CUCAGAGAGGGGGGUCCCUCAGCCUGGAUUGCGAGAGGGUGCAGGCCAGGCUGAUGGACCCCACCCGUGCACA
rfam:Myotis brandtii contig200768, whole genome shotgun sequence.